UCAUGAGUUUUGACAGCUCUUUGUUUACCUACUAUUCGUAUCAAAACUUUCAGUCUGAGUUGCUGGAAGACGGCGCCGAUGGUUGGGUGGUAAGCGUGACCGCCACCCACCCCAGUUGGUCUGGGUUCAAUCCCAGUCGAGGUCGUUGAGAUUUUUCAGAGGUGAGAAAAAUCUGAGGUCACGCCUUCCUUCGGAAGGGAAGUAAAGCCGUUGGUCCCCGGUCCAUGAGUUGAUGGGUCGAUAUCCAAUCCAGAUAGUGGGAGUGUCACCUCUCUGGCGUCGGUGUUUGGCCUCGUAGCGGAAGUAGGCCGACGGAAAAUAAACAGAAUUGGAGGAGGAGGAGUUGCUGGAACACCACUGCUUAGUCAAUUGCAGAUGGCGAAAAGUCGAAAAGAGGACGUCAUCCGAUGUGUACGAGAAAUUCAGCACGGAAUGCCUGUACGCAAAGCUUGUUUUCGCAACAGAAUACCUCGUUCUAUGAUAAAUUUCCGCUUAGGAAAGAAGUGCAAGAAACAGGGAAGAACCGGUCCGCCAACCGCCCUCGGAAAUGUGGAGGAAAAGGAGCUCGUAAACUGGAUACAAAAAAUUGGCCCGGAAAGGGUUUCCCGUUACCAAACACCGUUUGAUGAACAGAAUCGCGAUGUACAUUGAGCAGAAUCCCGAGAAAGGCAAAUUUAGAAAAGGAAAGCCAAGUCAUUCAUGGUUUACUAGUUUCGUGAACCGACACAAGGAGCUUGCCAUUCGGAAACCCAAAGGCGUCACAAACGCAAGUGCCAAUGUCAUUGAAAAGGACAUCAGGCAGUGGUUUCGGGAAGUUUUUGACAUUUUAAAGGAAGAGGGCCUUGUAGAAAUUGUUCGAAACGCGAAGAGCGUCCUAAAUGGUGACGAAUCAAGAUUUUAUCUCGAUCCAGCUGUAGAGAAAGUUAUCGCUAUGCGAGGCGAAAAGAACGUUUAUAAAGUCGACCAUGGUCCAGCAAAAAAAAACAACAGUUAUGUUUACUUGUUCAGCCGAUGGGAAAAUGUAUCCACCAAUGGUGGUCUUGCCCUACAAAAAAAAUCCCAUCUGGCGUUAUACAAAUUGUGCCCGCAGAUUGGGGAAUAGGAAAAACUGACUAUGGGUGGAUGACGACCACAUGUUCCCUGAAAUAUGUACAAAAUGUAAUUCACCCACAAUUAGUUGAAGAAGGUGUCAUCCCAGCCGUUUAUUUUAUUGAUGGGCACUCGUCACACACAGCAUGGGAGACUGCGGAUGAGUGUCGCAAGCUAGGCAUCCAUUUGGUUUGACUAUACGCAAAUUGUACAAGAAUCUUGCAACCGCUUGAUGUAGCAGUUUUCAAGCCCCUUAAAAGUGCCUGGCUUAAAGUUGUUGAUGAUUGGAAACUAUUAAACCCUAACAAGCAUAUAAGAACUGGAGAUUUUAGCCCGUUGCUUGUGAAAGCAAUGGAUUCAGUGAGUGCAAACGUUAUAAUAAACGGAUUUAAACGGUGUGGUCUGUUUCCAUUCGAUGAGAACAGCGUCGAUUACACUAAAUGCCUUGGUCGCAAUCGUCCGCUGGAACAAACGGAAUCAAAGCAAUUUGAUAAAGCAAAUAGUGCCCAUCAACCACCUGAAGAAGUGCAGUUCAUAACUUCAGAUCCUGUAACAAGUGUUGUAAAAUCUGAUUCAUUUCCGGUUAAUCGAUCAAAGGCUGCAGGAAUACUUCAACUGAUGGGACCUGAUCGCCAGGCUAAGUAUAAUGCUUGUAAUGUUGACGAUUUCGAUUCUCUAGACGAUAAAAUUCUCGCACGCGUUUCAAGUUGCUUGAGCCAUUAAACUAUACCCAGCAAGAUUUCAAAUGUGCCCCCGAGGAUAUAGAUAGCACAACGGAUAAUCCUGAAACGAAGGAGGAAAUACUAGCGGAAUAUUUGGUCGAAGAGCCAACCAACGAAUUCGAAUGUCACUACAUUUUGGAUAUUGACCCUGAAGCACCCGAAGGCGAGGUAGAACUGAUUGCGGAAAACCAAGAACUACAAACCGACAAUGACCAUUUGAAAAAUAAUGUUGUCGAGUCCAAUGAUGCUUCUCAACAGAACUGUAGCACCUUUCUACCUUCUUGGAAUCACCAGAAACACCACAUCGAAGAGGGAAUGUGAGAUAUAAACGAAGGAGUCCUGCACUUCUCACGUCUCGCCGACGAUUGCUCUACCAUAAAGCUAUUGAGGAAGAGAAGAAAAGAGAAACAGAAGCAAAGCUGAAGAAAGCUGAACAACGAAAGUACAUGAAAGCCGAGAAAUGGAAAAAGAAAAACGAUGCAGAGAAAUUGAAGAAAACUGAACAACAUAAACAUACAAAAACAAGAAAAUAAAAAAAUGAAAAACUGUGGUACAAUAUUUUCCAAAUUUUGUUUAUAAUAAUAAAUUUCAGUGAACUAGUAUAUUCUUUGUUCAUGAUAUAUUUUAUGAA